CACGUCAGUGCGCUUUGCUGACGUGGCAACAAAGCGCGGCCUCCAGAAUGCGAUAUGUGUCCACGUCAGCAAAGCGCGCUUACGUGG
rfam:Gossypium hirsutum cultivar TM-1 chromosome 7, whole genome shotgun sequence